rnacentral:ncRNA from 2 species
UUUAAAAAUGGCGAUGGGGUUCGCCUCUAACCAUCCAUAAAGGAUUGAUGACUCCUACUGAAAC